rnacentral:pre_miRNA from 1 species
UAUAAUAUUUCACUCUUCAUCUUACUUAUUUUUUGGGAUUAAUAUUUUUAUUGUUAUUAGAUAAUAAAACACGAAUAGUAAUUUACGCGUCACUAAUUUUUUUUUGAGUUUUUUUAAAUAAGACGGAUGGUCAAAUGUUAGACACAGAACC